UACAGAGGGGGCAAGCGUUUGUUCGGAAUUACUGGGCGUAAAGGGCGCGUAGGCGGCCUUCUAAGUCGAACGUGAAAUCCCCGGGCUCAACCCGGGAACUGCGUCCGAUACUGGAAGGCUUGAAUCCGGGAGAGGGAUGCGGAAUUCCAGGUGUAGCGGUGAAAUGCGUAGAUAUCAGGAGGAACACCGGCGGUGUAGACGGCUUUCUGGACCGUAGCUGACGCUGAGACACGAAAGCGUGGGUAGCAAACAGG
rnacentral:rRNA from 1 species